rnacentral:rRNA from 1 species
UACAGAGGGUGCAAGCGUUGUUCGGAAUUACUGGGCGUAAAGCGCGUGUAGGCGGCUUAUUAAGUCGGACGUGAAAUCCCUUGGCUCAACCAAGGAACUGCGUCCGAUACUGGUUAGCUUGAGUGUCGGAGGGGGUGGCGGAAUUCCCGGUGUAGCGGUGAAAUGCGUAGAUAUCUGGAGGAACACCGGUGGCGAAGGCGGCAUCCUGGACCAUUACUGACACUGAAUAGCGAAAGCCAGGGGAGCAAACGGG